rnacentral:sRNA from 1 species
GAAGGAUCAUUAUCAUGUAGAUAUCAGUCUUGCUCUCCGCUUGAGCUGUUAAAUACACCCACCCCGCGUACACCGUCCUGUUGCUUCCGCCGGGCGCGGAUAACCGCCACACCCGGCGGGAGGGUAAAAUGAACCCCCAAGUUUACUGCAGAAUCUGUCUGAACACAAAAAGGAAACGAAUGAAAUGUUAAAACUUUCAGCAACGGAUCUCUUGGUUCUCGCAUCGAUGAAGAACGCAGCGAAAUGCGAUAAGUAGUGUGAAUWGCAGAAUUCAGUGAAUCAUCGAAUCUUUGAACGCACAUUGCGCCUUCUGGUAUUCCGGGAGGCAUGCCUGUUCGAGAGUCAUUGACAACCGUCUCGAAUCCCCCCUUUCCAGCCCUCCUCUUGGGGUUCUGUUUUGAGAGGAAUCGGUCCUGGUGGAUGAGGAAUGAUGAGUUGGCUUGCAGAUCCCUCCUGUCCCACCAAUGCGCCGUGCGGUCUUGGUGGGCAAACAGUUUAUGGGGUUCGGCUCGUCAAAUCCCCUCCCCUCCGAAAUUCAUAGGUGGUUCGUGUAUGACCGACCUGUUGCAUGGGUGUUGUAAAGGAGGCUCUCUCACCAUUUUGUAGGAGUCCACUUUUCGCUUCUCAACAGUAAUGGUUUAUAAACCACACUUGUACAUUGUGAUGGGACCGAGUGCGUUCUGCGCACUUUUGCCCCACACGGUGACGAGUUGGGGAAACACUGGGCCGGCCUUCCAAAAGGAAAUAAAUAAUGAAAAACAACCCCCCGUAGUUUUAUUAUUAUUUGAAUAUCAAAGGUUGACCUCGGAUCAGGUAGGGAUACCCGCUGAACUUAAGCAUAUCAAUAAGCGAAGGGAAA